ensembl:lncRNA
CGGAACUGGUUAGAGUCUAGUUCCAUCACGGAACUGGUUAGAGGCUAGCUCCAUCACGGAACUGGUUAGAGUCUAGUUCUAGUUUUUGACCACUUGACCCCCAUUAGGGCACUAAAUGGAACGUCUUGGUCAAUACAGUAUGCUUGAUUAGAGGCGCUUCAAAAUGUAAACAGCCAAGGGUGGGCACAAACACUAAGGCUAAGAACAAUUAUUCAACAAACUCCCUAUUAUUUAACAACACUAAUAUAUAAAUGUAUAUAUAUGAUGCUCAUAGGAUUAAACCUCACUUUUCUAUGCAUACAAACAUUCUUAAGUAUAGGUUAAGUGAUGAUUCUACUCAAUAUUGUGAAAUUAACCCCCAGGAGUUUGAGAUUUAGAUUAUGUUCCGGGGAGUUUGGGUUCAGCAUUUACACUUGCUUUGCUGGUUUGUUUGUCGCUUAGAGAGAGAGAGAGAAGGAGAUGUAGAGAGAGGAGAGAGAGAGGCCUCCUCUCUAAUUCCACUGUUGGGGUCCAUGGCCUCUAUCCUCUCCUUUCCGCCACCCUGACUGAGGUAGGGCGCUUUCAGCGUGACCAAUGGGAAGCAGAACGAUGGAGACCAAGGAAGAAAGAGCGAGACAGACAGACAGACAAUCAGAAUGGGGGGGGGUCAGUUAGGGUUUAAAUGGGGGGUGUGCAGCAGACUGGAGAGAGAGAGAGAGGGAGGGGGAGACAGGGUCUCCUCUGCCCACGACUCACAAACUGGAAAACCGGAUGAAAGAGUAGCGUAAGAAACCUGACGGACACACAAUGUAUUAAAGCAACACGGCUGAUUUCAAAGGUUUAUUGUGGGGGAGGAGAAGGAGGGAGGAGAUUUAGAAGAUGAGAGCAGAUAGGGAGAGAGGGAGAAGAAGAGAGGGAAGGAAGACAGAGGUAAAAGGAGGGGGAAGGAGAAAGGGAGGAAGGAGAGAGGAAAAUGAGGGAGGAGUAAGCGAGGAAGAGAGGGAGAUUGAGGAGGGAGGCAUUCUGAAAUAUAGUAAUCAACUCUCUGUUGACAAACAGCUUAAACGGUAUCCAGCUGAUCUCCAGACUUCUCUCCCUUUUUGUCUUUCCCUCUAUCCAUCUUUCUCUCUCUGCCUCUCUCUCCAUCGCUCGGUCUCUGUCUUUCCCUCUCUCAAACUUUUUCUCUCUGUCUUUCCCUCCAUCAAUCUCUCUUUCUCUCUCCAGUUGAUGAUUGAAUGAAAAAUACAACACAUUAUGGAAUCAUUCAUUUCAAUAAGCAAUACAAAAUACAUUCCUAGAAACUUUUUAUUCACUUACAUUGUAGGUUAAUGACACAUAAUUGUGUCUAGUAAAAAACUAGUAAAAGUGUAUUAAAU